GAUUUUAACGUUUUGCCACGUAAUCAAGUGAUUUUGGAUGUUGGGCUUCGUUUGUAAUAUAUGGUGUAAUUGGGCUGUUUGAUUAGUAAGAGUCUGGGUCCAACGUGAAGGAGAUCACUCUAACCCUAACACCCUGCAUCGAAGAAACGAAGUUCGUCACUUUUCUAUGUGCGGCGGUGAUCCGGUGACCUCUGAGCUUCUUCUGGCGACAUGAAACGGUGUGAUUAAUGGCUUCAUCAUAAAUCUCAUUUAUUGGCUCCAUCACGAUGUGUAUUCAAAGCUUCCCAAUGAUCUCAGAGACGGUGCCAUGAUCUGUAUAAAUAGAGUUUUUGUGUAGAGCUUUCGUACCCUGUAAAAACGCUGAUGUAGUUCGAGAAAAGGAGUAGCAGAGCUAAGGGUCUGACCUUCCACCCCAAAAAACCAAGAAAUCUCACCAAUUUUUUCAGAGGUGUCAUCCAGCAAUGGUAUUAUCUAUUGGGUUCGGUCGUUCUCACUCUACAGCUUUUCUUCCUCUCAGCAUGUAAGAUAGGAAAUCUAUUUACAUGUAAAAAACUGAGGAAGUGACAACAGUCUUAUGAGUUAUGACGUCCCUGAGGCUGCGGAAACAUGAUCACGGUGUGAUUCAUUGGUUUCUUCAGUUUAGAGUCCACAAAAUUCAUGUUCUAUCAAUUUUGUGUUCUACUUUUUAUCUUUUCAGUUGUAAAAAAGAAGACCAAAUAUAGGAGUGUGCUAAUUUUUAGUGAAUGAAGCUAUUUACUUAUGUUUCUCAAUAUUCUUCUCUUUGUUAUUGUAAAAGACAAGUGGAGUUUUUAUUGCAAGAGCUAAUUGUAACCACCAGCUGUUUUUAAUCAGUAAUGCACUUCUCUGCAAUUUUCAAUUUUUGUUUCUUUUUUUUUGGUCAAACCAUUUCUUCCAUAAAUUUAAAACUAAGCAACAGCGUUAGCAAUCCAUGAAGGAUUGUUCGAUAACAUAAACAAAGCAUGUUUGGCGAGCUUAUCAGCUUGCACAUUACAUUUUUCUUCAUUAUUUAAUUUCUGGUUGGCUAUUAUAUAUUUUGCUAACGUUACGCACAAUUUUAUUGUGGUAUCAAAGAGAUGACGUCUACGAGUUUAACUCUGGUUCAUGAAGAGACCCUGAUGGUAGUAUCACUCAGGAUCUGUCCCUAGAUUACUUAUAUGGUUUUCCCAGUUUGUGCAGUUUACAUGUUUGGUACAGAUGAAACAGGAGGAACACAACAUGAGAUCUUUCUCUUAAUUUAUUUAACAUGACAAAAUAAUAGCUUGGUUGUUUUUAGCUGUACAUAUAUAUGUAAGAAUACUUCUUUUUAGCCAUGGACGGUUGAUUAUUGUCUAAGCGUGCUGGCUGAAACAGAUGUAUCUGAAGGGAAGAGACGAUUCAUGUUAAUGCAAUGAGUCAGUAUCUAUAUAUAUGUAAGAAUGAUUUUUUUCCCCACUGAUACCUGUUCCUGGAGAACA